UCAGGUUCUGACCGCUGGAAUGGGCAAUUUCCCUCUGGCUAAGGCUGGUCUAUAUGUUCCUUCUGUAAGUGCCAGUUGAUUUCUACCCAGUGUUGCUUUCUGCUGUGACAGGGCAGCACUGAGCUGCAAUGCAAAGCUCCACAGUCACUAGGCUCUCCUUCCCCCAAGAAAACAGAUUCUCUCUCCAUGCCAUGCAGCUGCUGCCAGAGAAUGAAGGAUGGUGUUAGCAAUUCAAGACUGUCUUUUCUACCCUCUUCCGUUCUGCUUUCAGUGAUAUGAAGUUAAAACCAGGUACGGACUUAUCUGUACUCAGCCAACUGUAGAAGAACAACCCUUCAGAGCUAAUAACUUGGCCUGCCACAGUCUCAUGGAUCUGGCAGAAGACAUGAAACUCCUGGGUCAGAAGAAAAGGAUUUUAUGACUCACAGUACAACAGGCAGCUCUUACUUCGUCUUCACAUCAGUUACCUUUCUCAUCUAAGUCCCGCAAGGGUGAUGCUGAGGUCAUCCCAGAUGGAUGCUAAACACAAAACAUGACAUUUCACCCACAACUAUAAACUGGGCAGAGAAUGGGAGAAGAGCAUGAGGAAUCAUAUAACAGCAAUGGAUGCCAAAGAAAAAUAAUCCUCUGCAGAGAUUUAUGGGGGAACAGGGUCUCGCUGACUUACUGUCGCCCAGAUUGGAGUGCACUGGAGCAACCACAGCUCACUGCAGCCUCAAACUCCUGGGCUCAAGUGAUCCUCCCACCUCACCCUCUGGAAUAGCUGGGACUACAGGCAUGCACCACCACCAUGCCUACUAAUUUUUGUAUUUUUGGCAGACGAGGUUUUGCCAUGUUGCCUAGGAUGGUCUCAAACUCCUGGGCUCAAGAGGUCUACCCAACUCCCUCUCUCAAAGUUCUGCGAUUAUAGGUGUGAGCCACAGCACCCGACAAAUUUUAAUGAUCUAUUACAUUGCAUGGAGACCACAAUUAACAUUUGCAGACUUUACAUAGUUCAUGUUAAGUUUGAGAAAUCUGGCUCCUGGUUAAAAAAUCUACAGAUGAUUUCUUACUUCUGGCCAUAGACAAUUACAAAGGCUUUAUUUAACUGACAGGCCUGAUGGGGAAAACCCAUCCUCACAUCCCCAUACCAGACACGGUGAACAGACGAUACCUUCCAGUGUCAAAGGGGAGCUGCAGUCAAACACUCAAGCCCCUCUGUGUGUCUGCCUUACACAUAUUCGCACUUUCAGCCCAGACACUUCCAGCCCUAGGUAUCUUUAUUUGGGGUCUCCAGAGACCUUUUUAUAAAAUUCGAGUAAGGAAGGGGAAAAGUUGAAGAUACUUUUCCUCACUCUAACUCAGUACUUUUCUACUCUUUGCCCUUUGCUUUUCUCUCAUCCUGUCCCAGGUCCAUAAAACUGCAGGAUUUUUUUUGUGGGGGAGCUCCCUGGGCAUUGAGAUGACCCCAUUGUCUGUGCUGAGCCCCCUGACCUUCA